UCAGAAGGAGCGGAGCGUCAGACAAUGUCAAACGUGAAGCAGUCAUCGAUUUCAUUUAGGGAAAGGAAUGGUAACCUGAAACAUUGGGAUAGCCAUUUACCAAUUGCAAUGUCACUUGAUUUGUCUUUAUACUCUGUGCUCAGCCAAUAUAAAAGUAUAAACUUACCUGUAACUUACCUGUAAAUCCAAUUAGGAAAAAAUAUAAAAUCGGCGCAAAUGAAAAAAUGAAAUCGGCGCAAAUGAAAGAAUGAAAAUUUUCAAAAUCGGCGCAAAUGUCAUACGCCCCCAAGAUCAUAAU
rnacentral:lncRNA from 1 species